GUGAACGCUGGCGGCGUGCUUAACACAUGCAAGUCGAACGGUAACAGAAAGAAGCUUGCUUCUUUGCUGACGAGUGGCGCACGGGUGAGUAAUGUAUAGCUAAUGUGCCCCUUAGAGGGGGAUAACGUCUGGAAACGGACGCUAAUACCCCAUACUCCUUAUAGUUGAGAUACUAUAAGGGAAAUGAUUUUUCGCUAAGGGAUCGGGCUAUAUCGUAUCAGCUAGUUGGUGAGGUAAUGGCUCACCAAGGCAAUGACGCGUAGCUGGUCUGAGAGGACGAUCAGCCACACUGGAACUGAGACACGGUCCAGACUCCUACGGGAGGCAGCAGUGGGGAAUAUUGCACAAUGGGGGAAACCCUGAUGCAGCAACGCCGCGUGGAGGAUGACGCAUUUCGGUGUGUAAACUCCUUUUAUAUGGGAAGAUGAUGACGGUACCAUAUGAAUAAGCACCGGCUAACUCCGUGCCAGCAGCCGCGGUAAUACGGGAGGGUGCAAGCGUUACUCGGAAUCACUGGGGCGUAAAGCGCAUGCAGGCGGUCAAAUAAGUUGGAAGUGAAAUCCUCUGGCUCAACCAUAGAACUGCUUUCCAAAACUGUUUGACUAGAGUCUGGGAGGGGAAGAUGGAAUUAGUUGUGUAGGGGUAAAAUCCGUAGAGAUAACUAGGAAUACCAAAAGCGAAGGCGAUCUUCUGGAACAGUACUGACGCUGAGAUGCGAAGGCGUGGGGAGCAAACAGGAUUAGAUACCCUGGUAGUCCACGCCCUAAACGAUGAAUGUUAGUCGUCGGGUAGCUAGUCUAUUCGGUGAUGCAGCUAACGCAUUAAACAUUCCGCCUGGGGAGUACGGUCGCAAGAUUAAAACUCAAAGGAAUAGACGGGGACCCGCACAAGUGGUGGAGCAUGUGGUUUAAUUCGAAGAUACGCGAAGAACCUUACCUAGCCUUGACAUAUUUGAGAACACUUUAGAGAUAGAGUGGUGCCUUCGGGAGCUCAUAUACAGGUGCUGCACGGCUGUCGUCAGCUCGUGUCGUGAGAUGUUGGGUUAAGUCCCGCAACGAGCGCAACCCUCGUCACUAGUUACUAACGGUUCGGCCGAGGACUCUAGUGAGACUGCCUUCGCAAGGAGGAGGAAGGUGAGGACGACGUCAAGUCAUCAUGGCCCUUACGGCUAGGGCAACACACGUGCUACAAUGGUUAGGACAAUGAGACGCGAUACCGCGAGGUGGAGCAAAUCUAUAAACCUAAUCUCAGGUCGGAUUGUAGUCUGCAACUCGACUA
rnacentral:rRNA from 1 species